CCCAGUUGAUUCUUAUUAUUGUUCCGUCAUCCCUGCUGGUGGACAUAUUCCUGCCUUCGAGAUGCUCUUGGCCUCUUAGUAGGCUAUAUCCGUGACUCUCUUGGCCGCCCAAUCACCAGCCCAGCAGCGCCAACUGCCGGCAGGCUACACGCAUGCUAGCUUAUCAGGGCUCAACGGCGCCGGGCGAGGGGGAUCUUUGAAAAACGGCCAUGAACAAACAGUAUUGGCAGAAUUGAGUGGAACACCCUGGAGGGGCCACCUUUCAACCGCGGAAAUGAGGGGCGUGCCUGAAAGCUACCAGUAUCGCAAAAAUUUCUUGUUUGCGCCAGAGCAGAAUGAGCAGAGCUAUGAACGCCGCGGCUUGACAGCAACCGGAUUUUAAUGUGAAUACGAGAAUAGAGUUCAGAUAAGCGGAUGGCCACAAACAUUCUUGCUCGCAUUCUUGUGCGGAGAAGAGGGCCAAUGUCGACUCGUCAGCCGCCAC
rnacentral:sRNA from 1 species